rnacentral:rRNA from 1 species
AGUAAUAUAUCGGAACGUGCCCAGUAGUGGGGGAUAACUGCUCGAAAGAGCAGCUAAUACCGCAUACGACCUGAGGGUGAAAGGGGGGGAUCGCAAGACCUCUCGCUAUUGGAGCGGCCGAUAUCAGAUUAGCUAGUUGGUGGGGUAAAGGCCUACCAAGGCAACGAUCUGUAGUUGGUCUGAGAGGACGACCAGCCACACUGGGACUGAGACACGGCCCAGACUCCUACGGGAGGCAGCAGUGGGGAAUUUUGGACAAUGGGCGCAAGCCUGAUCCAGCAAUGCCGCGUGCAGGAAGAAGGCCUUCGGGUUGUAAACUGCUUUUGUCAGGGAAGAAAUCCUCUAGGUUAAUACCCUUGGGGGGAUGACGGUACCUGAAGAAUAAUCACCGGCUA